UACGUAGGGGGCAAGCGUUGUCCGGAAUCAUUGGGCGUAAAGGGCGCGUAGGUGGCCCGGUCAGUCUUUGGUGAAAGCGCGGGGCUCAACCCUGCGUCGGCCAGGGAUACUGCCGCGGCUCGAGCACUGUAGAGGCAGGCGGAAUUCCGGGUGUAGCGGUGGAAUGCGUAGAGAUCCGGAAGAACACCGGUGGCGAAGGCGGCCUGCUGGGCAGUUUUGCUGACACUGAGGCGCGACAGCGUGGGGAGCAAACAGG
rnacentral:rRNA from 1 species